AACCUGGAGGUGGAGUCAACCCCACCUAAAUCAACAUGGUCUGAGAACGGGGAAGGAGCAGUUCUCCAAGGGCAAGGCGGAGGUUCUUGACAGAAGAGGAGAGAGACGCUGAGUAGAUGAGAACAGCCAACAUCUACCACAGAGCGGAAAACAACAAACUUGGUUCUCAUGACAAGCCCAAAAGACUCCUUGGUGGUUCUAUCUAUUUGGAGAAGCCUUUAUAUCUUCACACACCUGGGAUCUUCCAAGAAGGUUUUGGAUGAGCACGCCUCAAUUCAGUCCUAGAGACCUAUGCUGCAUUUGUUUCCUUCCCUCUUGGUCCACCUCCAGCCCUCAUUCAAUUCUAAGUCUCAUCAUGCCUUUGAAGACUGCCCUGCUAGUCUCAAACCUGUGCUUUUUCCUUUGUUCAAUUGUGACCCUGUUUAUGAUGCUACAGAAAGAACAGCUUUGCAUACUCCAGACUUGGUUCCAGGUGUCUGCACUCAUAAUUUAUGUUGCCCUUCAAUUUACCUAUAGAAUCUUGCCUUUUAAGAACUGGUUCCACAUAAAGUUUCUAAGGGGCUUUUAAAACUGUAAAGCAAUAUAAAUGAUAGAUGUUAUAAAAUCUAAGAUCAUUUGUCCAUGUUAUUCUCUACCUGUUGGUUCCUUCCUCAUUGAAAAUUGGUGUAUAGAUGGUAGAUAGAUAGAUGAUAGAUAGAUAGGUAGAUAGAUAGAUAGAUAGAUAGAUAGAUAGAUAGAUAGAUAGAUAGAUAGAUUUUUAUUUUUGGUCUAUCUCCUUUACUAAACAGUAAGCUCCAUGAAAAUAUGGAUCAUCACUGUCUUAUUCACCAUUAUAUUCUCAGCAUAUGGUAUUGUCCUGGUAUAGAAUAGAUUCUCAAUAAAUGCUUGCUAAAUGAAUGCAUUCAUGAGUGAGUGAAUGAAUGAAUAUGCGAGUGGAUGAGUGUGUGGAAAACAUGGUCUGGCUUUCCCAACCAGAUGAGAAAGCAAAGGCACCGGAGUUAGCUUCAGCUGUUGCUUCCUAGCGAUGUGACCUUAGUUUGACCUUUCUGUGUUUCAGUUUUCUCAUCCUUGAAAUGGGGAAAAUACUUUACUGAGGACACCAAAAGAUCACCUAUGUGAAUUCAAUGUUUGAUAUACUAAGCACUCAAUAAAUAUCAGCACUCUUC